AAUUUAAGUUUAUGGUGUUUCGUGGUUGUUUUGUUUUAAAAGUAUCUAUAUAUCCCGUUUAUAUUAGUGUUUCCUAAAAACGCGAACUAAAUUCAAACUUCGAAACCGCGUCUACGACAUUCAUACAACAUUCAAACAUCGUUUCGAAAACAAGUUACAAAUUAAAAUUUUAUGACCACAUUAAAUUUUUCGCAGAUAUUUACUUUUAGGUGUACGAAAUUCGCCAAAUUCGUCUUGUUCUCUUAGGUUCACAAUCAAAUGUCAAAAACGUGCAGCAGCAGUUUUGAAUUACGACGGCUUUGAUUUUAUAUCGAUUUGGAGGAUUUUGCAAUUUGAUUGAACCGAUUACUCAUUGAGGUAUUUAAGAAUAUAGGCAUAUCAUUUCUAUGAAUAUAUUUGUGGAAUUAAGUCCAGCAUCAUAUAUUUAAGAAGCCCUUUUCCGUGGUGAACAAAUACUGACUGCAUACAAUGGAAACUUGCAGUCUCUGCAGUCAACGGAUGUCCGACUUCCCAUACGAAAUCCAGUCCAACUAUUGAAUCUAGGUAGGCCAACCAGUUGGGCAGACAAAUUACAGUUUGAAAGGUCGCCAGCGGCAAACUUGAAAAGGCCGACGAUGAGAUGCAUUUUUCUUGUUCGUUUUCAUGAAACGAUCGUUUUGCAAAAAAUUUUUUGCUUUAAAGGAUGGAAUAAAUUUUCAUUCGUAAAAAAAAAUUGUGUUCACUCCAAUCAGCUAAGCUGCAAGGCUCACAUCAUAUAGAAGCUAAUAAUGCAGUGUCUACGGAAUGUAAGAAUGAACGAUUUAAUCUACCUUCAGCGGAUUAUUACGGAAAAUUACCAAAAACUCUUGCCAGUGCAUAUGCUGAAGAUACAAACAAAGUAGUAAAAUUUUGAAUUUUUCCGUGGCAGCGGCAAGGGGAUUCGAACCCGUUAUCAUCGAAUAUAUAUAGCGGAGUAAGCAGCUCAACGCGCUCGACCAUCGUAUGAAAACAACUUGUUGCUCAGUCGGCAACAGUUCUAAAUUAACAGAGCUUUCUUUGAAUCUGAAAUGGCUCGCAAAUGAUGCUGUUAACAUAACAUUAGAUACAACUAUUUCCGUUAAGCAUCGAAAUAAUUUAUUCAAACUUUCUUUAAUUUGUGAUUUAGUUACUAAUUUAUAACCUGCAAUUAUAGAUUGAACAGAAUUUCAGGUGUUUAGGUCAAACUCACAAACAUGGGAGUAAAAAAUUAGUAAAUAACAUGAAUUCGUAACAAUUUUUAAAUCAAUAGGCAGAAAAUAAUUAGUUGUUUGUCAAGACAUAAAAUUUUGUGAUUUAUUUUUAACUAUA